rnacentral:rRNA from 1 species
UGGGGAAUAUUGCACAAUGGGCGCAAGCCUGAUGCAGCAACGCCGCGUGAAGGAAGACGGUUUUCGGAUUGUAAACUUCUGUUCUUAGUGAAGAAGAAUGACGGUAGCUAAGGAGCAAGCCACGGCUAACUACGUGCCAGCAGCCGCGGUAAUACGUAGGUGGCAAGCGUUGUCCGGAAUUACUGGGUGUAAAGGGAGCGCAGGCGGGAGAAAGUCAGUUGUGAAAUCCAUGGGCUUAACCCGUGAACUGCAGUUGAAACUGUUCUUCUUGAGUGAAGUAGAGGUUGGCGGAAUUCCGAGUGUAGCGGUGAAAUGCGUAGAUAUUCGGAGGAACACCGGUGGCGAAGGCGGCCAACUGGGCUUUUACUGACGCUGAGGCUCGAAAGUGUGGGAGCAAACAGGAUUAGAUACC